CGCGCAGGCGGCCAGGUCAGUCGAAUGUGAAAGCCCCCGGCUCAACUGGGGAAGGUCGUUCGAUACUGCCUGGCUUGAAGAUAGGAGAGGGAAGUGGGAUUUCAGGUGUAGUGGUGAAAUGCGUAGAUAUCUGAAGGAACACCAGUGGCGAAGGCGACUUUCUGGCCUAUUCUUGACGCUGAGGCGCGAAAGCUAGGGGAGCGAACG
rnacentral:rRNA from 1 species